rnacentral:misc_RNA from 1 species
AAAAAUAAAAAAAAAAUAAAUAGAAGUGUACUGAAAAUAUGGGCAAAGGGUGUUUUGAAAUUUGAAGUGUUUUGAUGUAUGCCUGAAUCUGAAAGAGCAAAGACGAAAGCGGCCAUUUAUCUGAAUCUGAAAGAGCAAAGACGAAAGCGGCCAUUUAUAACACUCUCGUGAAUCUUGCCUCCAUUCUUCUCUCUCUUCACAUUUUCUCUGUCUUGAAUAGCAGACUCCUUCUUCUUAUCUCAGCUCAGAUCUCUGAUUCUCUGCUCCGCUUAAAGUAAUCAAUUCCUCAUAGUGUAAGAUCGAGUAUGUCUUCGUUUAGUUCCACCUAUGGAAACGGAGACACUCCUUUGCACACCUCUGCUUCUGUUUCUAAUGGGGAUGGAUAUGACAGUGAUGGCUCCAAUUUUGCAACGCCUACACAAGCCACACUUUCAGUUGCUAUUCCUGCGGAACUUGCUGGUGCCAUUCCUUUGAUUGAUAAAUUUCAGGUUGAGGGAUUCUUAAGGAUGAUGCAAAAACAGAUUCAAUCCACUGGAAAACGUGGGUUUUUCUUGAAAAAAUCUGUAGGCCCUCAAGUUCGGGACAAAUUCACAUUUGAGGAUAUGCUUUGUUUCCAAAAGGAUCCUAUACCAACUUCAUUACUUAAAAUUAACAGCGAUCUGAUAAGUCGAGCUACUAAAUUGUUUCAAAUAAUUCUGAAGUACAUGGGAGUUGAUUCAUCUGAUCGAGUAGCUCCAGUAAGCUUGGAUGAACGGAUUGAACUUGUUGGAAGAUUAUACAAGCAUACACUAAAACGUGCAGAGCUUCGAGAUGAACUUUUUGCUCAGAUUUCUAAGCAAACCAGGAAUAAUCCUGACAGGCAAUACUUGAUUAAAGCAUGGGAGCUAAUGUAUUUAUGUGCAUCCUCCAUGCCUCCUAGCAAGGACAUUGGUGGAUAUUUAUCUGAAUACGUUCACAAUGUAGCUUAUGGUGUGAGUACUGAUUCUGAGGUCCAAGUCCUCGCAGUAAAUACGUUAAAUGCUUUGAAGCGUUCUGUUAAAGCUGGUCCUAGGCAUACAAUACCAGGACGCGAGGAAAUUGAAGCUCUUCUAACGGGUCGAAAGCUUACAACCAUAGUGUUCUUUUUGGAUGAAACUUUUGAAGAAAUCACAUAUGACAUGGCAACAACAGUGUCUGAUGCUGUUGAGGAACUUGCUGGGAUAAUCAAGUUGUCGACAUAUUCUAGUUUUAGUCUGUUUGAGUGCCGUAAAGUUGUUACGGGUUCCAAGUCACCUGAUCCUGGGAAUGAGGAAUUCAUUGGGUUAGAUGAUAACAAAUACAUAGGGGAUUUGUUGGCGGAAUUCAAGGCAGCCAAGGAUCGGAGUAAGGGAGAAAUCUUGCAUUGCAAAUUAACAUUUAAGAAAAAGCUAUUUCGCGAGUCGGAUGAAGCUGUAACGGACUCAAUGUUUGUGCAAUUAUCAUAUGUUCAAUUGCAGCAUGACUAUAUAUUAGGCAAUUAUCCUGUUGGAAGAGAUGAUGCUGCUCAGUUGUCUGCGUUGCAAAUUUUGGUUGAGAUUGGAUUUGUUGGUAGCCCUGAAUCAUGCACUGAUUGGACUUCCCUACUUGAGCGGUUUCUACCUAGACAAAUUGCAAUCACCCGUGGAAAGCGAGAAUGGGAGUUGGAUAUUCUUUCCCGAUAUCGUUCAAUGGAACAUCUUUCAAAAGAUGAUGCAAGACAACAAUUUUUGCGAAUAUUGAGGACACUUCCUUAUGGGAAUUCAGUUUUCUUUAGUGUCCGUAAGAUUGAUGAUCCUAUUGGACUUUUGCCAGGACGGAUUAUUUUGGGCAUCAACAAGCGAGGGGUACAUUUUUUUCGUCCAGUUCCAAAAGAAUAUUUGCAUUCAGCAGAGCUAAGAGACAUAAUGCAAUUUGGUAGUAGCAAUACUGCUGUUUUCUUUAAGAUGCGAGUUGCAGGUGUUCUUCACAUUUUUCAAUUUGAGACCAAGCAGGGAGAAGAAAUUUGUGUUGCUCUUCAGACACACAUAAACGAUGUGAUGUUGCGCCGUUAUUCUAAAGCUCGGUCUGCUGCAACUGGCUUAGUAAACGGAGAUCUUUCUAACAGUUUUAAGCCUUCCAAUGUGGAAGUGUAUGAGAAGCGUGUACAGGAAUUGUCCAAAAGUAUCGAAGAAUCUCAAAAGAAUACUGAUCGGGUAACUCAUGAAUAAACUUUUAAUUAUGUUCAAAGAACAGUUGUAGCAUGCUUUACAUUUAUGUUGGUGAUGAUAGAGUUACUAUGCCGCGAAUGAGUUUGCAUCUCCAUUUAUUUUAUAUUUUUAUCAUAUGGCAUUUUGUUUUUUCUGUUUUGUAUCUGUGUUGGGGAUGACCGAGUGAAUCUCCAAAGGCUGUUACCUGUUAGUCAUGAAGAAUAAGGAAAUCAAGUUUUAUUUCUGUGUUUAUUGAUUUUCGUUUUUUAAUUUUUUAAUUUUACUUUAGGAGUUUUCGUUUUAAUAUAAACAUAAAGUUUAAGUUUUUGUUCUAAUUAGGAAGCACCGGAUUUUACUGCUUACUGUUUACCCUUAUUUAGGAUAGUUUAGUAUUUUAGUAGGGUUGUUUAGGAAUUUUCUAUUUUAUUUCUCUAAAUUAAGGUAUAGCCUUUUUAAGAUUUUUUUUCUUGAAUAAUUUAGAAAUAUAUGGGGUUCUGAACUCACUGGAUAUGCCUUGGAUGUGUCAGAUACACUUUUGUACUUAUCAUAAUUGAAGAUAGAAUAAUUUGAGGAAUGAGCAUGUCUUGAACACAUUUAGGACACAGGUUAAAAAAUAGAAAUUACGUUUUCUGAAAAGAUAGUAAAAGGAACAUAAAAGAUAGGAUAAGAAAAGUAGACACAUUUUUUACUAGAUGAUAAACAUAUUAAGAUGAAUGAAGUUAUCUAUGUAUUUAUUGUCAUGUUUCUCUCCAUUGUUUUUUCUUUUGUUUUUUAUUUUAGUUUUUAAAAAAAUUUGAUGUUGGAUCAGUAUUUUGAGAAUCCAUAUGGCCUGUGCCUUUGAUGGUAACCUUGUAUCGCUUUACUUGGUUAUUUUCUUAUUUUGGCUGGGACCAAGGUGUCGAGUCAUUGUGAAGCAGCUUUGAACUGAGAUACUUCUGAAGUUUUGAUAUUUGUAGUUGCCUGCAAAAAUUGUAAUGAGAUUAAUGAGUUAAACAUGUUUAUCCAGUUAUCACAAGAAUUGCAUGAGAAGCAAAGGCAAGAAGUAAAAUUACAAGAGGAAUUGGAGGGCUUGAAAGAUGCCUUGAGAUUUGAAAAGCAAAAGUUGGUAGAAGUCAAUUCUGAUCGUGAUAGACUUAGAUCAAUGUGUGCUGAAAAGGAUACAGCUCUUGAAGUUAGUAAAAAGCAAUUUUGUAGCUUUAUCCCCAUUGUUAAUCAUUUUAUCUAUCUUUAGGAGCAUUGAUUCUGUAUAUAUAGGCUGCUUUAUUGGAGAAGAGAAACAUGGAAAUGAGGUUGGCCACUCUUGGUAACCUAGCUGUGGAGCAUAAUGCCAAAAAGGAUUUGGUUGGCACUAAUAAUCAGGUGUUGCACAAGCUUCAAGAUGAAUUGAAACUGCGCAAUGAAGAGUUGCAUGCAACCAAAGAAAGUAUGAAAAGAUUGACAAAUGAAAAAAUAUCUCUAGAACAGGAGAUAUCUAGGCUUGAAAGAAAGAAAGUUGAAGAGAUGGAAUUUCUGGAGAAAAACUUUGAACAAGAACGUAAGACCUUAAAGCUACGAGUAAUUGAACUUGAAAGGAAGUUGGAAGGGGUUACACAAGAAUUAGCUGCUACUGAAUCAACUCUUGCAAUUAGGGAUGCAGAUUUAACUACCUUGCAAAAUAAUAUGAAGGAACUAGAGGAGCUUAGAGAAAUGAAAGAGGACAUAGAUAGGAAGAAUGAGCAAACUGCUGCCAUAUUGAAGAUGCAAGGAGCUCAACUUGCUGAGCUUGAAGUACUUUAUAAGGAAGAACAAGUUUUGAGGAAGCGCUACUAUAAUACUAUAGAAGAUAUGAAAGGGAAGAUAAGGGUUUUCUGUCGUUUAAGACCUUUGAGUGAGAAAGAGAUUGCUGAAAAGGAAAGAGACACAAUAACAAGCACAGAUGAAUUUACAGUUGAACAUCAAUGGAAAGAUGAUAAAGCAAAACAACAUGUAUAUGAUCGUGUAUUUGAUGGCAAUGCCACCCAAGAUGAUGUAUUCGAGGACACAAGGUAUUUGGUACAGUCCGCUGUCGAUGGAUAUAAUGUUUGCAUAUUUGCCUAUGGCCAAACUGGUUCUGGGAAGACAUUUACAAUAUAUGGCUCUGACAAUAAUCCUGGACUAACACCACGCGCUACUGCAGAACUUUUUAAAAUAUUAAAGCGUGAUAGCAAGAAGUUCUCAUUUUCGCUGAAGGCAUAUAUGGUUGAGUUGUACCAAGAUACACUUGUGGACCUUUUAUUACCAAAGAAUGUGAAGCCACUAAAAUUGGAUAUUAAAAAAGAUUCGAAGGGUAUGGUAUCCAUAGAAAAUGUAACAAUCAUUUCAAUCUCAACAUUGGAGGAGUUACAAGGUAUCAUUCAAAGAGGAUCUGAAAGGCGACAUACUUCUGGUACUCAAAUGAAUGAAGAAAGUUCAAGAUCUCAUCUGAUACUUUCAGUUGUUAUUGAAAGUACUAAUCUUCAGACUCAAUCCCUUGCAAAGGGAAAGUUAAGUUUUGUGGACCUUGCUGGUUCAGAAAGAGUAAAGAAAUCAGGCUCUUCAGGUAGUCAACUUAAGGAAGCUCAAAGCAUCAAUAAAUCUCUGUCAGCACUCGGAGAUGUAAUUAGUGCUUUAUCUUCUGGCGGUCAACACAUACCUUAUAGAAACCACAAGUUAACGAUGUUAAUGAGUGAUUCCCUUGGUGGUAAUGCAAAGACACUUAUGUUCGUAAAUGUAUCACCAGCUGAAUCAAAUUUGGAUGAGACCUACAAUUCCCUGAUGUAUGCAUCAAGAGUUAGAUCAAUUAUGAAUGAUCCAAGCAAAAAUGUUUCAUCAAAAGAAAUAGCUCGAUUGAAAAAGUUGAUAGCAUAUUGGAAAGAGCAAGCAGGUAAGAGAGGAGAUGAUGAAGAAUAUGAAGAGAUCCAAGAGGAACGACCAAUGAAAGAUAGGACAGACGGUCGUCAUUCAAUGUAGAGGCUAUAUUUUUUUGCCUUGAGGUGAAAUUAGGCCAAGAACUUGCAAAAUUUUUGUUAACAAAAUGGUUUAUCACGUCAAUUGGGAAAUGAACCUGGUAGAUUGGUUAGCUAAUUUGAUACGAAUUGAAGGGGUUUCGAUGAUCUCGUUGUAAUAUCAUACUUAGGCUGGAGAAGUUCCGAGUAAAAAGAUUUAGGUUGUAUAGUUAGAACGGUGUGUAUAUAUUACUUGGUAUUUUUAUGUUGAAUACACUUUUGAAUGAAAUGAAAAUUUAGUGAAU